CACGAAGGGGGCUAGCGUUGCUCGGAAUUACUGGGCGUAAAGCGCACGUAGGCGGCUUCUUAAGUCGGUGGUGAAAUCCUGGAGCUCAACUCCAGAACUGCCCUCGAUACUGGGAAGCUCGAGUCCGGGAGAGGUGAGUGGAACUGCGAGUGUAGAGGUGAAAUUCGUAGAUAUUCGCAAGAACACCAGUGGCGAAGGCGGCUCACUGGCCCGGUACUGACGCUGAGGUGCGAAAGCGUGGGGAGCAAACAGG
rnacentral:rRNA from 1 species